AAAUGAAACAGUAGUACUCUGUGGAAAUCACGUGUAGGAUGAUGUGCUAUGAGUGUCCAACGACCACACACCACGCCUGAAUUAUGUAUGCAGUAUGUUGCUCAGAACAGCUUUAGUCUCUGUACUCGCUGUCCAUGGUGCUGAUCUGUUACGCUCGCUCUAUGUCCUCUCUCAUAGGAAACAGAGAGCUUUGGUUGAGUUCAGUCAUUGCUCUCGUCUUUCUCACGAGGUUUGCUACUGGAAGUCUGUCCCUCUUGCUAAAUCUCCCAUCUAACAGUGAAAAGAAUUUGAAGGCAUGAGAAAGAUGGUACCCUAUAUUAUGAAUCAGCAACACUGGGCCUAGAUUUCCAAGGUAACCAUCAGACUUCAAAAGACAAUCUUUAUACUUCAGUCCAUUUAUUUUCUUUAUCCGCAAGAAUAAUUGUUGGCAUGGCAACAGGGCUUGGUUAUAUCCCCCUCAGAUUUCUCUUUAAGCCUUAUUAAUUCGGCAGUGACUUAAACAAAUCACAGUCCACAUCUCCAUGGAGAUUCUUCUGGAACAUUUAACGUUGACCUAGACUUGUCUCGUGCCCCUGUGCUGCCAGCCAGUCAGUUCUUCUAUUGAUGUGUGUAGGCCUAUUUCCGUUGGCAUUUCCCCUGUGUGCUAGGAGUGAGUGUGUGUCUGUCUCUCACUGUGUUUUCUAUGACAGAUUGAAAGAGAGCUAGAUAAAUACAGUACUGUAUCUGUGCGCUUCCCCUUCUCCUCUGCGCCUCACUCCCCACGCGCCUGUCCCUGUCGCUCCGCCGCCGCCGCUGCUCCUUUUGAAUCACACACAAGCGCGCGCCUAGUUAUCCACCAAGUGAUAAUUGCGCAGCUGAUUGUUUUCUGCGGAAUUUCAACGGAAAUAAACAGCUGGAAGUAAGCAAUAUAGUUUUCCGGUUUUCGAGGUUAAAUUGCCAUUUCGACAAACAUUCACUGUUUUUCCCCACGCGGGGGACUGUGAUUGUAUCAGACUAACUCUUCCGUUUGCCAGAGAGACAUUCUGGAACGUACCGGGAACCAGGAGGGAGUUGUCAGUCAACACGCUUCAGGGAAAGCCUCCGCCCGUUGGGUUUGACGUUAACUGCUCGGUGUUGGGGUUCUCGCGCUCUCCACUCGCCUGAAGUGAUGUGAAUUCUCCGUAGUUGGAGAAGAACGUUCAGACUUGUGCCGCGAGACAAGGAACGCCAGACAGCCAGUGUGGACUUGGGAUUUCAAUAGACUCAUGUGAAAACAUUAUCGUCUGUGGAUUCAGAGGUGGCGAGAAAAGGGACGACGUGCGUUUUGUUAUUUUAAGCAUUAAUAAUAACCUAACCACAUUAAACUGUAAGGAAACCCAUUCAUUGUUUUUUGUCUUUGCCUUGUUCCAAAAAAAUGAAGGUUGAAUGUUAAUGGUGCAGUUGUUGAAUCAUUUUGACCCGUUUUCGUUAUCUUGGAGGAAAUGGCUUGACUCCGGUGGUGAGAGGAGGAGAAAAGGGGGCAUAUCACCAUCUGCGAGGGACUUCCAAUGCUCUCUCCAUCGAUCACCAGUCGAUUUACCCACAUUGAAGAAUAACGAUACGGCACAACAAGUUCUAGUGGAUAGCCUACAUACAAUAGUCGGUUCGCGUGGUGCGCAGGGGACGCCAACGCGAGCCUUCAUGGAUAGAUUAUCUCUGUAAAUCAACUUGGAUACAACGUUUAUCAUACUUUAAAACCCAGCAAAAACGGACCAGGUUGGAGAAUAUUAUUCAUAAAGCGAAAUUAAGUAUGUGGAUUAUUGUUCCCAAGAGACAGUCAUUGCGCGCCGACAUGGUGUACUGAGGAGUUGUUAAAGCUACAAAGAAUAUCCGAGCCGAUUCUGAUCUUCUCGCUUUGAAACCGACCGCCGCCCCGUGUUUUUAAGUGCACAGGUGGUCCAUCAUUUUAAGGUCGCACCAUUUGCAACUAUGUUAUGUGAAUGUCUUCACCGUCUCAGCUGGAAUGUGUAUACUUCGGAUUCCCUGACUUAUUCCUUACUGGAUAUUGGCAACUGUUUUGGGGAUUUGAGCAAGUUAAGAUAGAAGACAUAGAAGAAAACAGAAGAAUAUUCUCGGUGUUGUGUGAGAAUUUCCCUCUUCUCCUCAACGACUGGCGACGCAGCACUCAUUGAUGUCAGAAAAGAAUCUGUCAGCAGUAUUUUGCAGAGGGGGCAUUGCAGACAAGGCACAUUCUCCCUAUCAGGGACUGAUGUAGACCUGGG
rnacentral:lncRNA from 1 species